UUUAUAAAAAGCAAUGUUUGCGUUUAGUUUCGACCUAAAAGAUAGGAUAAAUACCUUUAU
rnacentral:tRNA from 1 species